UUGAACGCUGGCGGCAGGCCUAACACAUGCAAGUCGAACGGUAACAGGAAGAAGCUUGCUUCUUUGCUGACGAGUGGCGGACGGGUGAGUAAUAUCUGGUAAACUGCCUGAUGGAGGGGGAUAACUACUGGAAACGGUAGCUAAUACCGCAUAAUGUCGCAAGACCAAAGAGGGGGACCUUCGGGCCUCUUGCCAUCGUAUGUGCCCAGAUGGGAUUAGCUAGUAGGUGGGGUAACGGCUCACCUAGGCGACGAUCCCUAGCUGGUCUGAGAGGAUGACCAGCCACACUGGAACUGAGACACGGUCCAGACUCCUACGGGAGGCAGCAGUGGGGAAUAUUACACAAUGGGCGCAAGCCUGAUGCAGCUAUGCCGCGUGUAUGAAGAAGGCCUUCGGGUUGUAAAGUACUUUCAGCGGGGAGGAAGGGAGUAAAGUUAAUACCUUUGCUCAUUGACGUUACCCGCAGAAGAAGCACCGGCUAACUCCGUG
rnacentral:rRNA from 1 species